rnacentral:rRNA from 1 species
CGAUGAAGCUCCUUCGGGAGUGGAUUAGUGGCGAACGGGUGAGUAACACGUGGGCAAUCUGCCCUGCACUCUGGGACAAGCCCUGGAAACGGGGUCUAAUACCGGAUAUGACGCGUGACCGCAUGGUCUGCGCGUGGAAAGCUCCGGCGGUGCAGGAUGAGCCCGCGGCCUAUCAGCUUGUUGGUGGGGUAAUGGCCUACCAAGGCGACGACGGGUAGCCGGCCUGAGAGGGCGACCGGCCACACUGGGACUGAGACACGGCCCAGACUCCUACGGGAGGCAGCAGUGGGGAAUAUUGCACAAUGGGCGAAAGCCUGAUGCAGCGACGCCGCGUGAGGGAUGACGGCCUUCGGGUUGUAAACCUCUUUCAGCAGGGAAGAAGCGAAAGUGACGGUACCUGCAGAAGAAGCGCCGGCUAACUACGUGCCAGCAGCCGCGGUAAUACGUAGGGCGCGAGCGUUGUCCGGAAUUAUUGGGCGUAAAGAGCUCGUAGGCGGCUUGUCACGUCGGAUGUGAAAGCCCGGGGCUUAACCCCGGGUCUGCAUUCGAUACGGGCAGGCUAGAGUUCGGUAGGGGAGAUCGGAAUUCCUGGUGUAGCGGUGAAAUGCGCAGAUAUCAGGAGGAACACCGGUGGCGAAGGCGGAUCUCUGGGCCGAUACUGACGCUGAGGAGCGAAAGCGUGGGGAGCGAACAGGAUUAGAUACCCUGGUAGUCCACGCCGUAAACGUUGGGAACUAGGUGUGGGCGACAUUCCACGUUGUCCGUGCCGCAGCUAACGCAUUAAGUUCCCCGCCUGGGGAGUAC